UAGCUUGCUACUUUGCCGGCGAGCGGCGGACGGGUGAGUAAUGUCUGGGAAACUGCCUGAUGGAGGGGGAUAACUACUGGAAACGGUAGCUAAUACCGCAUGACCUCGAAAGAGCAAAGUGGGGGAUCUUCGGACCUCACGCCAUCGGAUGUGCCCAGAUGGGAUUAGCUAGUAGGUGAGGUAAUGGCUCACCUAGGCGACGAUCCCUAGCUGGUCUGAGAGGAUGACCAGCCACACUGGAACUGAGACACGGUCCAGACUCCUACGGGAGGCAGCAGUGGGGAAUAUUGCACAAUGGGCGCAAGCCUGAUGCAGCCAUGCCGCGUGUGUGAAGAAGGCCUUAGGGUUGUAAAGCACUUUCAGCGAGGAGGAAGGCAUCAUACUUAAUACGUGUGGUGAUUGACGUUACUCGCAGAAGAAGCACCGGCUAACUCCGUGCCAGCAGCCGCGGUAAUACGGAGGGUGCAAGCGUUAAUCGGAAUUACUGGGCGUAAAGCGCACGCAGGCGGUUUGUUAAGUCAGAUGUGAAAUCCCCGCGCUUAACGUGGGAACUGCAUUUGAAACUGGCAAGCUAGAGUCUUGUAGAGGGGGGUAGAAUUCCAGGUGUAGCGGUGAAAUGCGUAGAGAUCUGGAGGAAUACCGGUGGCGAA
rnacentral:rRNA from 1 species